rnacentral:rRNA from 1 species
GAUGAACGCUGGCGGCGUGCCUAAUACAUGCAAGUCGAGCGAACAGACGAGGAGCUUGCUCCUCUGACGUUAGCGGCGGACGGGUGAGUAACACGUGGAUAACCUACCUAUAAGACUGGGAUAACUUCGGGAAACCGGAGCUAAUACCGGAUAAUAUAUUGAACCGCAUGGUUCAAUAGUGAAAGACGGUUUUGCUGUCACUUAUAGAUGGAUCCGCGCCGCAUUAGCUAGUUGGUAAGGUAACGGCUUACCAAGGCAACGAUGCGUAGCCGACCUGAGAGGGUGAUUGGCCACACUGGAACUGAGACACGGUCCAAACUCCUAAGGGAGGCAGCAGUAGGGAAUCUUCCGCAAUGGGCGAAAGCCUGACGGAGCAACGCCGCGUGAGUGAUGAAGGUCUUCGGAUCGUAAAACUCUGUUAUUAGGGAAGAACAAAUGUGUAAGUAACUAUGCACGUCUUGACGGUACCUAAUCAGAAAGCCACGGCUAACUACGUG